GAUUUCGUAGCUUAUACUUUAAAGCACGACACUGAAAAUGCCGAAAAGGUCCUACGACCCGAAAACA
rnacentral:tRNA from 1 species